UAGGAGCUCCCAGGUCACACAGCUAGCAAGGGCACAGGCUAGCUCUGUCCUGCCUCUCACCUGGACAGCCCGGCCGGACACCUGUAGCACGCCUGACCACACCAUGAGAACAAGCCUGUCCCUUCCAGAGCCUGGAGGACGUGGCAGACCGUGGGCGAGUCCCGGAUGAGCAGGAGCCAGGACCGGCACUAGGUGAGCAGCCCCACCUGAAAGCACUUCUCCACCAGAGCUGCAGUGCCCCGGGGUUCUGCCCACCGAGCACAGCGCCCUGUCCCGCAGCACCCACCUGGGCCCGUGGAACUGACAAGCAUGAAGACCCAGCAGGCCGCGCGCGAAAACAAACAACAAAUUCAUGGCCUACCACUGCCCUGUGGGGUCUGAGACUGAGACUCUUCCAGGGAGCAGAAAGCCUCGUCCUUCUCCUGCGGAGCGGCUGGUGGUUUGGAACUGCCGACCUUGUGGAUAGCCUCUCAAUGCUUCAUCCGUGCAUCACCAGGGUAAUAAAAUCCUUGUCUUGGG